CCUCCCUCAGCUCUGUCAAUAGCACACGUCUAGUGUGUGCUUGGUGGAUUCUCAAGCAAGAGAAGAGGAUACCCUUCCUAAUGCAUAGUAAACCUGCCCCAAAGUGGCUUCUCCGUUCCUAGGAGUACAUAAGCU